rnacentral:rRNA from 1 species
UACGGGGGGUGCGAGCGUUGUCCGGAAUCACUGGGCGUAAAGGGCGCGUAGGUGGUUUGAUAAGGGUGUGGUGAAAGUCCGGGGCUCAACCCCGGAUCUGCCGUGCCGACUGUCAAACUCGAGGGCUGUAGAGGCAGACGGAAUUCCGGGUGUAGCGGUGGAAUGCGUAGAGAUCCGGAGGAAGACCGGUGGCGAAGGCGGUCUGCUGGGCAGUUUCUGACACUGAGGCGCGAAAGCGUGGGGAGCAAACGGG